UACAGAGGUCCCAAGCGUUGUUCGGAAUUACUGGGCGUAAAGGGCGCGUAGGCGGCCUGCUAUGUCGAACGUGAAAUCCCCGGGCUCAACCCGGGAACUGCGUCCGAAACUGGCAGGCUUGAAUCCGGGAGAGGGAUGUGGAAUUCCAGGUGUAGCGGUGAAAUGCGUAGAUAUCUGGAGGAACACCGGUGGCGAAGGCGGCAUCCUGGACCGGUAUUGACGCUGAGGCGCGAAAGCCAGGGGAGCAAACGGG
rnacentral:rRNA from 1 species